GCACUGCUGACAAGUCCCUAACAGGACGAAACAGCUGUUCAGUGC
rnacentral:hammerhead_ribozyme from 1 species